CCUGAGAAACCCAAAAGAUCGAAUGGGGAGAUUCAUCGACGACGAAGCUGGCUCCCGUUGGCGUGCGAUUCCCCCGUUGGGACCUCGGUUCCAGAACGCGGGGUACACCCCUUCGGCGAAUAACCGGCGACGUAGUCGUGCACUUCUCCCUUAGUAGAACGUCGCGACCCGUUGUGUGUCGGUCUACGGCCUGGGCUAUUUGCCUGUCGCGGUGGCAUUAGUUCGCUCGCGGCAGAGGCUCGGUCGCCCGGCCGGCUGCACGACGGUACUCCGACGGUAUCGGGCCGCAACCAAUCCAUUCUCGAAUGGUAUAUGCGUCCAGGCCCGUCGCAAGCUCGGACAGCACCCGGAGCGUGUGGACGCAGCGCCCUCCCCGGGUCUGGCCAGCUGUUAGCAGACGGUGUCCUCGGACCGGCCAAGCUUCGAAUUACCGGUCAGCGACGCUAUUGCUUUGGGUACUCUCAGGACCCGUCUUGAAACACGGACCAAGGAGUCUAACAUGUGCGCGAGUCAUUGGAACAUUGAAAUCUAAAGGCGAAAUGAAAGUGAAAGUCGUCGUAAGCGUCGACCAAGGGGAGGAUGGGCCGCGUCACGUCGCGGCCUCGCACUCCCGGGGCGUCUCGUUCUCGUUGAGAAGAGGCGCACCCAGAGCGUACACGUU
rnacentral:rRNA from 1 species